rnacentral:rRNA from 1 species
CAGCCGCCACGGGAAUACGUAGGUGGCAAGCGUUGUCCGGAAUUAUUGGGCGUAAAGGGCUCGCAGGCGGUUUCUUAAGUCUGAUGUGAAAGCCCCCGGCUCAACCGGGGAGGGUCAUUGGAAACUGGGAAACUUGAGUGCAGAAGAGGAGAGUGGAAUUCCACGUGUAGCGGUGAAAUGCGUAGAGAUGUGGAGGAACGCCAGUGGCGAAGGCGACUCUCUGGUCUGUAACUGACGCUGAGGAGCGAAAGCGUGGGGAGCGAACAGGAUUAGAUACCCGAGUAGUCCCUGUCUCUUAUAC